CGCCUCUUGAAUAAUAAGAGGUACUGCCUGCUCAAUGCUUGUAGUAAAUAGCCGCGGUAUUCUGACCGUGCUAAGGUAGCAUAAUCAUUAGUCUUUUAAUUGUAGGCUGGUAUGAAUGGCAAGACGAGAAAGUGACUGUCUCUAAUAUGAUAAUUGAAGUUUACUUUUAGGUGAAAAGGCUUAAAUAAAUUCGGAGGACGAUCAGACCCUAUAGAGCUUUUUGGUUGGGGCGACAAGGAGUAAAAGUAACACUCUUUUAAAUAAACAUAUAUAAAUGAAGUAAUGAUCCCCUUUGUGGGAUUAAAAGACUCAGUUACCUUAGGGAUAACAGCGUAAUUUUUUUGGAGAGUUCUUAUCGAUAAGAAAGUUUGCGACCUCGAUGUUGGAUUAAGAUACCCGUUUGGUGCAGAAGCUAGAUUGGGAAGUCUGUUCGACUUUUAAAUUCUUACG
rnacentral:rRNA from 1 species